rnacentral:lncRNA from 1 species
GAAAAUUUUAGUAAAUUAUAGUCAAUUUUUAUGCAAUGAAACUAUAUAGCUCUUUUUGUUAGAAAUUGUCUUACUAACUAAGCUGCUGGUGGUUCUGUGACGAAGUAGCUCCUGUUGGCUUCCCUUACACCGGGUCAGACACAGGACAUUAAUUAAGGCUGUGUGUGGUGUUUCUGAAAGGUGAGGAGACUGGGCAUUCUGUCUUUUACUCUACAGAUACAUCGUGGGAGACUCAAAGAUUAAAAUGUGGCCACUCACUGUGGAUCAGAAGCAGAAUCUCACAUCAUAACCCCAAAUGACCUGUUACUCACCAUGUGGCCCAGCUGUCUUCAAACUCACCAGCCUCCUGCCUUAGCCUUCUAAAUGCUUGGAUUACAGGCAUGACCCACCAUAACUGGCUUUGUUUUAGUUUCAGAGAAGAUGAAACUGAUGUGCGUCAAAAAGCUGGUAGUCUGUCAAGGAAAUGAGCUGAACAUGUCUGUGUACAGCUUUUGUGCCAUCCCUGGAUGAGCGAGCUGUCUGCCUCUAUGUUCUCCACAAAAUGGAAUAUAGCUGUACACCCAAGCCAAGUUAUGGAGGCUGGGAAGACCUAGAAUGUGGCAUCACUAUUUGCUGAAAUUUUUAAUAUAAUGCCUCUUAGCCUGGUUUGGAGAAAACGUCACAGAGAGGCACCAUUUGUUGUGGUUUUACAUGAAAAUUUUCUGACCCUGAACCUGGUUUGAUGGAAAUCAUUUGCUGAGGUAAUUAUCUCAAAUUAACUACCAAGCUGAUGAAUCGCUUACUACUUAAAAGCUGUGAUGGGGAGAGGAGUAAUUGAGAGCGGCCUUGUUGGGAGGGGAUGUGGACAUUUUUUUUUUCAGCAGCCAAUCAACUUAGAGGUUUUUUUUUGUUUUGUUUUGUUUUGUUUUUGUCUUGUUUUUUUUUCUGUGUAGAAUCUGAAUGUAUUGUCACAAGGUGAACACCAG